GGAGUUGUAGCUCAGUGAUAGAGCACUUGCCUCACAAGUGUGAGGCACUGGGUUCUAUCCUAGCACCACUU
rnacentral:tRNA from 1 species